rnacentral:lncRNA from 1 species
UGUGGGGAUGUGGGGAUAUGGAGAUAUGGGGAUAUGGAGAUGUGGGAAUGUUGUGAUGUGGCGACAUGGGGAUGCGUCCCCUCUGGCCACUCACCCAUAGGUUUCUGUCCAAAGCAGCACAGUGUGGACCUGGCAGUGCGAGGGCAGCGCAGCAGACCCACAUCUGCAGCGCCCAGCGGCAGCCCUGCGUCCCUGCAUGGAGCAGCUGCAGUUCCCCAGGGCCGGCAGCAGGACGAGGGCAGCCCGCAGCUCCACACCAGGGAUUUCUUCCACUCCCAGCGCACCCUGACGCUUCCCCAGAGGAAAGGAACUCGGGACAGCUUGGAUCUCCUCACCGGGAAGAGAGCCGCCUCCAGGCUGGAGAAAAGCAGGCUGAAGGCCGGCUCCGAGCUGACCCUGCUGCCCCACGGCAAGUCACCCACGGCCAGCUGCGAGGGCUCUUUCCUUUCGCCCCUCCUGAAGCGCGCUGCGUCCGCCAGGAGCGCCUGGAAGCGUCCCGCAUCCAUGGGCAGCACGGAGAGAGGGAAGGUGCUGCAGAAGAGAAAGGAGUGGGAGAUGAAGGCAGCGAUGUGAGCGGAGUGAUGCUGCGCCGCGCGGGGACCGAGCCGGGCUGCGGUGCUGGAGAGCUGCUAUGGGGCCGUGCUGGGGGGGCACACCGGCACCCCAAACCUUCUGUGGGGUCACAUCGGCACCCCAAACCUUCUGUGGGGUCACACCGGCACCCCAAACCUUCUGUGGGGUCACUGCUUCUCUGUGUUUUCGGUGUGGGUUUCCCAGUGGGGCGGAGAUGGUGGAAAUGGUCCCAAUGGUGCCCAGCUGUGCCCAACGGACCCCAAUAGAACCCAAUGGACCCCAGUGGUGCCCAGUAGAACCCAGUGGUGCCCAACAGACCCCCAAUGGUGCCCAACAGACCCCCAAUGGUGCCCAACAGAACCCAAUGGUGCCCAGCGGAUCCCAGUGGUGCCCAACGGACCCCAGUAGAACCCAAUGGACCCCAAUCGUGCCCAAUAGACUCCAGUGGUGCCCAAUGGAUCCCAAUGGUGCCCAACGGACCCCAAUGGUGCCCAGUAGAACCCAAUGGUGCCCAACGGACCCCAAUAGAACCCAACGGACCCCAGUGGUGCCCAAUAGAACCCAGUGGUGCCCAAU